rnacentral:rRNA from 1 species
UAGGGAAUAUUGCACAAUGGGGGAAACCCUGAUGCAGCAAUGCCGCGUGAAGGAUGAAGGAUUUCGGUUCGUAAACUUCUAUCGAUGGGGAAGAAUAAAUUGACGGUACCCAAGUAAGAAGCCCCGGCUAACUAUGUGCCAGCAGCCGCGGUAAUACAUAGGGGGCAAGCGUUAUCCGGAAUUACUGGGUGUAAAGGGUGCGUAGGCGGUUAUAUAAGUCAGAUGUGAAAACCCAAGGCUCAACCUUGGGAAUGCAUUUGAAACUAUAUGACUAGAGUACAGGAGAGGUAAGUGGAAUUCCUAGUGUAGCGGUAAAAUGCGUAGAUAUUAGGAAGAACACCAGUGGCGAAGGCGACUUACUGGACUGAAACUGACGCUGAGGCACGAAAGCGUGGGGAGCAAACAGG